AGCUUUGCGCAGUGGCAGUAUCGUAGCCAAUGAGGUUUAUCCGAGGCGCGAUUAUUGCUAAUUGAAGUGGUAAGUCUUAAAGGAAAAAUCCAACAGUUUUAUCCCCCAUAAAAUGAAAAUUUUCUCUAUAUAGA